CCUCACUUCUCUUUACCCAAUGCAGAGUAACGUUUCAACUUGGAAUAUCCUAGUGCUUUUAAAAUUUGGUCAAAACUGUAACAUCACAGAUAGUCCCCCUCAGGGUAGGUGUAACCUCAGUGUCCCAGCACUUCUCUUAGCGCAUCCUGGAGAAUGAGCCCAUGCUGAAGAGAAGCUACCAAUCUCUCCUGACAUCAACAUGAGCACUGGAUUCCUUUAUUUUGUGACCUGCUGUUUCCUGUGGACAGUCCCCUUGGAUGCUGGUGUGACUCAAACCCCAAGGAAUCUAAUCACCAGGACUGGACAGAAUGCGAAACUGACAUGCAAGCAGAAUUUGGGUCACAAUGCUAUCUUCUGGUAUCGACAGGACUCCAAGAUGGGACCUCAGAUGAUGUUUUACUACAACAAUAAACAACUUAUUGAGAAUGCUACUGUCUCCUAUCGCUUCAGCCCAGACUGUCCUGAAAAUUCUCUCUCGCAUCUUCACAUCACAUCCAUAAAGCCAGAAGACACAGCUACAUAUCUCUGCGCCAGCAGUGAAGCCACAGCAUUGUAA